UCAGGACUGUAAAAUUCGAACGAUUGUGGCUAGUGUUUGUGAAUGCUGUUUAGAGAAUGUUCGUUUUGCGGGAUGUGAAUAUCAAUUGGUACAGUUCACAAGUAGAUCAUGAAAUGAAAACUACGCAUCAAUUGUGAAAAUUGCAAUAUUGAUUGGCCAAUGUAUAUCAGCGCGAUUAGACUCGUUUGCACACAUUUCGAUUGAUUCCGUCGAUUGAUGGCUUUGUUGACGCGCUGAGGUAAAUCUUCCGGCUAGGAAGAUGCAACACCAGUAUCGACGGUGGAAGGGACCGGAAAAUCAGGAGCUGAACAUGAUGGAGGGGAACUGCAUACAGGAUAACUAACAGGACAGACCGCUGAGAAACGCCUGCAAACGGGACUAGCACCGGGUGGAUUCGAACGGGUACAUCCGGCUGCAUUAUCUGCUGUGAAAAUUUUGGUUUGAUUGCUAGAAAUUUAUUCUACGGGAAAUUUCACUUUGACUAAGAUUUUUCUGUAUGCUAUCGUGUUCUGUAGCAAAUAUUUCACAUAACUUCCCAUAAACAUACUCAUGAACGUAAACUAAGUGGAUGAUAGAAAAUCAUUUUUGAUUACUUUUUCACGAAGGUGUAGGUGUACGAGGUGAAAAUUCUUAUAAGAAAAUCGAACAGCUGACUUGCACUUGCUGCUGCGCUUGUUUAUAUUCAUUUUCAAUCGAGUGUAACGAGAUUUCGCGACCUUUUUGUAAUAUUGUCAGUAUUGUGAUGUGUUUUCCUUCCGUGAAUUUACUACCUGCCCCAACGAAUGUUCACGUAAUCUUCACUUCUAAAUCACCAGCAUAGCGGCACUUCCAAAUCACCCCAAAGAUCAAAGUGGUAUAACACCGUCGAGUGCCACGGAAUUGUCGUUCCACUGUUCCCCUGGGUUAAAGAAGAAUCGAAACUAGUAACGGAAAGAAGUAAAAAAUCGUUGAGGUCCGUCACGGAGCAUCCAAGUGAGACCAGAAGGAAAUAUAAUCACGGAAAAUCCUGCUAUGCCAGCCUUAUAGACAGAGUUAUUAAAACUUCAUUGCUAAGCCUGGAUUAUUCUUGCUUGAUAUUGCUGAUUGGGACAAAUUCACAAUCGAGCAUAACGGAGCUCCUGCCGAAAACAUGUCGAUAGCAGUUUGCUUAAAAAUGAUUCUCCUUGGACGCUGGUGCAAAUAACAACAGAAGUUUGCUAUACUGAAUCAAAGAUACCCUGGUCGAGAAUAUUGAGAUCCAAAAACUGUCUUCGAUGAUUUUCACUCCCGAGAUGAAAUGGUACCUGGAUUCACUAUGAGCCAUUCCCUCACGGAAGAGGGAUCCGCACCACCACAGUACAGCGGGUAAUACGGAACAAAUUCAAAGAAGAACUACGACCAAACCAGGAGCUGGAGAUGGAGGUUUUCCGGAAAGGAACCGUUAAAGGCAACCGGAUAAUAAUGUAGCUCCUUCAAAGAGGCCACCUGGAAAGGAUAUAUUAAACCUAAUUGAGGUCACCUAUCAGAGUUGAACCCUCAGCCAAACAGAUUCAGAUAAGGACAUACCGGAAGAUCAACUCCCACAUCUGCUGUUACUAGUAAAGCUAGUACCAUUUUAUCAUGCGCCCGGCAGCUCUACAAGCCCCAAUUGUUCAACCAGAUGGUAUUGGAACUGAACGCCUUGGCCUCGAACCUCAAAGUAUCAUCGAAAAGUAUACCGACUAUAUGCAGUUUUGUUUCAUCUGUAACUAACUGAGCAAGAUUAUAACGGUUGUGUAGUCAAAUUGCAUCCGGUUUCGGUUUGCACCGCUGGCUGCAGCACAGAUUCUUCCCCGGCUGGAGCAUGUCGUUGAAGC